GAGACGUUGGCUCUCCUGAAGGGCUUGGGACAGUUGUGGUGUCUGCUGGUUUCCUUGUGGUGUGGCUUAACUGGUUCCUCUCUCUCCUGAUUUUAUAUGAACUGAAAUGCCUUGAAUAAGCGGAGUCAAGACUUCAUAGGUCAGGCUGUUCUUCUCAUGGCCCAUCCCACCCGGAGGCCCAAAAUGUCAGGUGGUCCUGCUGUUAGUGGUAAGGUGGUGACCUCAGAUCAUUCCAGUGUUAAGUGUGUUUCUGAAGUUCAUUGAGUUCCUAUAUGGAAUGCCAGCUCACUCAUUUUUCACUGCUAUAUAGUACUUCACAGAAAGGCUCUAACUCGGUCUUUUGUUCCUGUGUUUUACUCUCACUGGUCCAGUGUUGAAGAUCCCUUCCUUCCAAGAGGCCCAGAGAGGUAAAGGAACUGGCCUGAGGCUCCACAGCAGGUUUGGGUUGAAGAGGAUUCUGAGGAUCAAUCUGAGAUCAAUGGGAUAAAGGUCACAAUUAAUGAUGUCUGCCCUGGACGCAGGAGGGAAUGGAGAGGUGUCUGCUUAGACAUCCCUUGUUUCUGGAACAGACCAGAUUGUGAGCCCUCAAGCACAGCAGGCAUAUCUGCUGCAUGUGUCAUCAUGUCCACUGUGUGGCUGGGGCCCUGGCAUGCAGAAGGCACUCAAUAAAUGCACAGAAAAAAGUUUGCUCACUCUUGGAAGAAAAAAAAAAAAAC